UACGAACUGUGCAAACGUUAUUCGGAAUCACUGGGCUUAAAGGGUGCGUAGGCGGCCAUUUAAGUAGGGUGUGAAAGCCCCCGGCUCAACCGGGGAACUGCGCCCUAAACUGGAUGGCUCGAGUGAGAUAGAGGUGUGUGGAACUUCCGGUGGAGCGGUGAAAUGUGUUGAUAUCGGAAGGAACGCCGGUGGCGAAAGCGACACACUGGGUCUCAACUGACGCUGAGGCACGAAAGCCAGGGGAGCGAACGGG
rnacentral:rRNA from 1 species